rnacentral:lncRNA from 1 species
UUGUCAACAUAUUAAGGAAGCUCAGAGCUAAAGGAAACUAAUGGGGUAGUUUUCGCUCCAUAAUCCUGGGAGGGUGUGAGAUGAGUUUUCCUCUUCCAUGUGAUAACACCUCCUUUCCUGUGUAGAUGCAGAAGUCAAAGUCUUCCUGGAGGUGCUCAUUUCCAGAAACCUGAGAGUGGAAACGCCCUUGGAAAGUGAAGAAGCCGUUCAGAAAUCACAUUUCCCAGCUGGGAGUGCACGCUGUAUAAAAUACUCCAGUGUAAUAAAACCAGAUGCAGGAAGAAGAACAAGAAUCUCAGUACCAGACCUGUCAUGGGCAGGGAAUUUGACUCUGACCAUCCCUACUCAACACAGCGCUAGAUGAAGAAAAAAAGGUAACAUUUCUAUUCUGUCCCGAGAGACUGCGAUUCCUUUGCUGUAACAGAUCUCCACAACAAAAUCUCCCGGUUUUCGAGCUCUGGAAUUACCGCUUGUUGAGCAGUCCACAGUUUUCAUACAUGAUG